rnacentral:rRNA from 1 species
GAUGAACGCUGGCGGUAUGCUUAACACAUGCAAGUCGAACGGACUCUUCGGAGUUAGUGGCGGACGGGUGAGUAACGCGUGAGAAUCUGGCUUUGGGUUCGGGACAACCACUGGAAACGGUGGCUAAUACCGGAUGUGCCGAGAGGUAAAAGAGAAAUUGCCUGAAGAUGAGCUCGCGUCUGAUUAGCUAGUUGGUGAGGUAAAGGCCCACCAAGGCAGCGAUCAGUAGCUGGUCUGAGAGGAUGACCAGCCACACUGGGACUGAGACACGGCCCAGACUCCUACGGGAGGCAGCAGUGGGGAAUUUUCCGCAAUGGGCGAAAGCCUGACGGAGCAAUACCGCGUGGGGGAAGAAGGCUCUUGGGUUGUAAACCUCUUUUCUUAGGGAAGAACAAAAUGACGGUACCUAAGGAAUCAGCAUCGGCUAACUCCGUG